rnacentral:rRNA from 1 species
UUGCUCCUGGGUGACGAGCGGCGGACNGGUGANUANUGUCUGGGAAACUGCCUGAUGGAGGGGGAUAACUACUGGAAACGGUAGCUAAUACCGCAUAAUGUCGCAAGACCAAAGAGGGGGACCUUCGGGCCUCUUGCCAUCAGAUGUGCCCAGAUGGGAUUAGCUAGUAGGUGGGGUAAUGGCUCACCUAGGCGACGAUCCCUAGCUGGUCUGAGAGGAUGACCASCCACACUGGAACUGAGACACGGUCCAGACUCCUACGGGAGGCAGCAGUGGGGAAUAUUGCACAAUGGGCGCAAGCCUGAUGCAGCCAUGCCGCGUGUAUGAAGAAGGCUUCGGGUUGUAAAGUACUUUCAGCGAGGAAGAAGCAUUGUGGGUUAAUAACCCAGUGAUUGACGUUACUCGCAAAAAACACCGGCUAACUCCUGGCAMCARCCGCGGUAUACGGAGGGGCAACGUUAUCGAAUACUGGGCGUAA